GCGUGCGCGCGCUGGCCGGCUGCGAAGACCUUCCCGGGGUCGCCGCUCCGCCUGGGUUCCUGGGUCGGGCUCCACCCACACCCUGCACCGUGCAACACGAGUCUCGUCCGAAUCUUAACGAACCCCCAACCUAGAGACGCCUGGGACGAUGAAGUCGGGGAGAAACUCGGCGCCACCCAGCUGGGCAGGGAGGCCCCACCUGGGCGCCGGGCUGAGCCGGCAGCUUCAUCUCCUACUUCUUCACUGCAUUUACUGGGUCAGUCCUGAAGGGCUGCUAUGUCGCAGACACUGGUUCAGCGGGGAAGAAACAAGAUUCCUGCUUCGAGGAGGCGUCCAGCUCUACCAGAAGUUUAGGCUAAUGGGGAUCAUCAGUGUCUUUGCCCUGAAAUCAUCAAAGCCAUGUGGCCACUCUAAGAAUCUCUCGUGACAAAUGGGAGUGCGUUGAGAGGGCCAGAAAAGGGGCCUCACUUAUGAACCCCAAGGAGAAGGAAGUAUACAGCACCCAUACAAACCAGUCCUUGCUUCUCCCUGUGGUUUAUCUGUAUUAUGGGUUACAAAUGUAUUUUUUUAAAACAUAUUUUGCUUGGGGCGCCUGGGUGGUUCAGUUGGUUGGGCAACUGCCUUCGGCUCAGGUCGUGAUCCUGGAGUUCCAGAUCCAGUCCCGUGUCGGGCUCCCUGCUCAGUGAGGAGCCGCCUUCUCCCUCUGACCCUCCCCCUCUCGUGCUCUCUCUCAAAUAAAUAAAAUCUUUUAAAAAAAAUUUUAAAAAUAUUUUGCUUAAUAGUAUGCACAAGUGUUUCACCAUGAAAAGCACUGA